GAUGAACGCUGACAGAAUGCUUAACACAUGCAAGUCUACUUGAACUUCGGUUUGGGUGGCGGACGGGUGAGUAACGCGUACAGAACUUACCUCACAGUUAGGGACAACAUUUGGAAACGAAUGCUAAUACCUGAUAUUAUGAUUUUAGGGCAUCCUAAGAUUAUGAAAGCUAUAUGCGCUGUGAGAGAGCUUUGCGUCCCAUUAGCUAGUUGGAGAGGUAACGGCUCACCAAGGCGAUGAUGGGUAGCCGGCCUGAGAGGGUGAACGGCCACAAGGGGACUGAGACACGGCCCUUACUCCUACGGGAGGCAGCAGUGGGGAAUAUUGGACAAUGGACCAAAAGUCUGAUCCAGCAAUUCUGUGUGCACGAUGACGUUUUUCGGAAUGUAAAGUGCUUUCAGUUGGGAAGAAAAAAAUGACGGUACCAACAGAAGAAGUGACGGCUAAAUACGUG
rnacentral:rRNA from 1 species